AUGAAAUCCUUGAGCUUUUUGCUGGUGUUCCUGUGGCUUCAGUUUAACUGGGUGAGCAGCCAGCAGAAGGUGCAGCAGAACCCAGAAUCCCUCAGUGUCCCAGGGGGAGCCAUGGCCUCUCUCAACUGCACUUUCAGUGAUAGUGCUUCCAACAACUUCAGGUGGUACAGACAGCUUUCCGGGAAAGGCCUCGAGUUGCUGGUGUCCAUCUUCUCCAAUGGUGACAAGGAAGAAGGCAGAUUCACAGCUCACCUCAAUAAAGCCAGCCUGCAUGUUGCCCUGCACAUCAGAGACUCCCAGCCCAGUGACUCUGCUGUCUACCUCUGUGCAGCGAGGAUGAGCCAAGGAGAGCAGGUGGAGCAGCACCUUUCCAUCCUGAGAGUCCAGGAGGGAGCCAGCGCUGUCAUCAACUGCACUUACACAGACAGUGCCUAG